rnacentral:misc_RNA from 1 species
AGCCUACUUAUACAAUAUAUUCUCCUUUACAUCUACUCAACUCCUAUUCUUCUUAUUAUCACAACGCAUAAUCCCUUAUUUGCGAUGUUCAGGUUCAAAUUUCAUUGUCGCAAAGAGGUUGAAAUUUAUUAGACUUUUUUCUUUUCUUAAAAAAAAGAACUUUUUGAAGUAUUUGAUAGUUCUUUUGCCUAAAGAGCUCUUCUUUUUGUUAACCACAAACUGAUUGGCCAUCAAUAAUUGCAAGACUUUCUUUAGAUGAAACGAAUGAUCCUCCGAGGCACGACUAUAGAUCAAUAUGGCA